rnacentral:rRNA from 1 species
AUUGAACGCUGGCGGCAUGCCUUACACAUGCAAGUCGAACGGUAACGGGCCUUCGGGUGCCGACGAGUGGCGAACGGGUGCGUAAUACAUCGGAACGUGCCCGAUCGUGGGGGAUAACGAGGCGAAAGCUUUGCUAAUACCGCAUACGAUCUACGGAUGAAAGCAGGGGACCGCAAGGCCUUGCGCGGACGGAGCGGCCGAUGGCAGAUUAGGUAGUUGGUGGGAUAAAAGCUUACCAAGCCGACGAUCUGUAGCUGGUCUGAGAGGAUGAUCAGCCACACUGGGACUGAGACACGGCCCAGACUCCUACGGGAGGCAGCAGUGGGGAAUUUUGGACAAUGGGCGCAAGCCUGAUCCAGCCAUGCCGCGUGCAGGAUGAAGGCCUUCGGGUUGUAAACUGCUUUUGUACGGGACGAAAAGCCUUCUUUUAAUACAGGAGGGUCAUGACGGUACCGUAAGAAUAAGCACCGGCUAACUACGUG